ACGAACGCUGGCGGCACGCUUAACACAUGCAAGUCGAACGAGAGAAGAGAAGCUUGCUUUUCUGAUCUAGUGGCGGACGGGUGAGUAACACGUGAGCAAUCUGCCUUUCAGAGGGGGAUACCGAUUGGAAACGAUCGUUAAUACCGCAUAACAUAAUUGAACCGCAUGAUUUGAUUAUCGAAGAUUUAUCGCUGAAAGAUGAGCUCGCGUCUGAUUAGCUAGUUGGUAAGGUAACGGCUUACCAAGGCGACGAUCAGUAGCCGGACUGAGAGGUUGAUCGGCCACAUUGGGACUGAGACACGGCCCAGACUCCUACGGGAGGCAGCAGUGGGGAAUAUUGCACAAUGGAGGAAACUCUGAUGCAGCGAUGCCGCGUGAGGGAAGAAGGUUUUAGGAUUGUAAACCUCUGUCUUCAGGGACGAAAAAUGACGGUACCUGAGGAGGAAGCUCCGGCUAACUACGUGCCAGCAGCCGCGGUAAUACGUAGGGAGCGAGCGUUGUCCGGAAUUACUGGGUGUAAAGGGAGCGUAGGCGGGAUCGCAAGUCAGAUGUGAAAACUAUGGGCUUAACCCAUAAACUGCAUUUGAAACUGUGGUUCUUGAGUGAAGUAGAGGUAAGCGGAAUUCCUAGUGUAGCGGUGAAAUGCGUAGAUAUUAGGAGGAACAUCAGUGGCGAAGGCGGCUUACUGGGCUUUAACUGACGCUGAGGCUCGAAAGCGUGGGGAGCAAACAGGAUUAGAUACCCUGGUAGUCCACGCCGUAAACGAUGAUUACUAGGUGUGGGGGGACUGACCCCUUCCGUGCCGCAGCAAACGCAAUAAGUAAUCCACCUGGGGAGUACGACCGCAAGGUUGAAACUCAAAGGAAUUGACGGGGGCCCGCACAAGCAGUGGAGUAUGUGGAUUAAUUCGAAGCAACGCGAAGAACCUUACCAGGUCUUGACAUCGUAUGCAUAGCUCAGAGAUGAGUGAAAUCUCUUCGGAGACAUAUAGACAGGUGGUGCAUGGUUGUCGUCAGCUCGUGUCGUGAGAUGUUGGGUUAAGUCCCGCAACGAGCGCAACCCUUACUGUUAGUUGCUACGCAAGAGCACUCUAGCAGGACUGCCGUUGACAAAACGGAGGAAGGUGGGGAUGACGUCAAAUCAUCAUGCCCCUUAUGACCUGGGCCUCACACGUACUACAAUGGCUGUCAACAGAGGGAAGCAAAGCCGCGAGGUGGAGCAAACCCCUAAAAGCAGUCUUAGUUCGGAUUGUAGGCUGCAACCCGCCUACAUGAAGUCGGAAUUGCUAGUAAUCGCAGAUCAGCAUGCUGCGGUGAAUACGUUCCCGGGCCUUGUACACACCGCCCGUCACGCCAUGGGAGUCGGUAACACCCGAAGCCUGUAGUCUAACCGCAAGGAGGACGCAGUCGAAGGUGGGAUUGAUGACUGGGGUG
rnacentral:rRNA from 1 species